GGAAACGAGGGAGUGCCUUCGGGAACGCAGUGACAGGUGGUGCAUGGCUGUCGUCAGCUCGUGUCGUGAGAUGUUGGGUUAAGUCCCGCAACGAGCGCAACCCACGUCGUUAGUUGCCAGCAUUUAGUUGGGCACUCUAGCGAGACCGCCGGUGAUAAACCGGAGGAAGGUGUGGAUGACGUCAAGUCAUCAUGCCCCUUACAUCCUGGGCUACACACGUACUACAAUGCUACGGACAAAGGGCAGCAAACUCGCGAGAGCUAGCAAAUCCCAUAAACCGUGGCUCAGUUCAGAUCGUAGGCUGCAACUCGCCUACGUGAAGGAGGAAUCGCUAGUAAUCGCAGGUCAGCAUACUGCGGUGAAUACGUUCCCGGGCCUUGUACACACCGCCCGUCACACCAUGGAAGUUGGCCACGCCCGAAGCCGUUACUCCAACCCUUGUGGAGGAGGACGUCGAAGGUGGGGCUGAUG
rnacentral:rRNA from 1 species